AACGAACGCUGGCGGCAGGCUUAACACAUGCAAGCCGAGGGGUAUAUUUCUUUCGGGAGAUAGAGACCGGCGCACGGGUGCGUAACGCGUAUGCAACUUGCCCUACUGAAAAGGAUAGCCCUUCGAAAGGAGGAUUAAUACUUUAUAAUAGAAAUCAUGGCAUCAUGAAUUUUUGAAAGAUUUAUCGCAGUAGGAUAGGCAUGCGUAAGAUUAGUUAGUUGGUGAGGUAACGGCUCACCAAGACGAUGAUCUUUAGGGGGCCUGAGAGGGUGAACCCCCACACUGGUACUGAGACACGGACCAGACUCCUACGGGAGGCGGCAGUGAGGAAUAUUGGACAAUGGGUGGAAGCCUGAUCCAGCCAUCCCGCGUGUAGGAUGACGGCCUUAUGGGUUGUAAACUACUUUUAUCUGGGGAUAAACCUACUCACGUGUGAGUAGCUGAAGGUACCAGAAGAAUAAGCACCGGCUAACUCCGUGCCAGCCGCCGCUGUAACAC
rnacentral:rRNA from 1 species